AACGCACAUUGCGCCCUUUGGUAUUCCGAGGGGCAUGCCCGUUCGAGCGUCAUUACACCCAUCAAGCCUGGCUUGGUAUUGAGCGACGGGGAGACCCGCGCUCCGAUUACGCCGGCUGGAGGAACCGAAUCUCAGCGUUGUGGCCUUUGUGUUCGCUGACGGGACGGGGCCUGCACGCCGUUAAACAUCUUCUUAAGGUUGACCUCGGAUCGGGUAGGGAUACCCGCUGAACUUAA
rnacentral:misc_RNA from 1 species